GUUUUGUGUAAAAUUUUCAAUGUUUCUAUGAAAAAAUUUCUUGAUAUGAAUACGAUACGAUCUUCAAGUUACAGAAAAUUAUGGUGUUUAACUUCGGACUAAUAUCAAUUUCUACAAGAACAUUGUACGCUUUUUCGUAAGAAAAAUGUCGUAAGUUUCGAAGACGGAAGUUGGGAGUCGCGCGUGUUUGAAAGUUACGAAGGCACCGAGUGCCGGCACAUGCUUGAAAGCGAGGAAAUAAACAAGUUUACUCGAAAGGAAAGGAAAGCUCAAUAGAAAAGUUGAGAGAACAAACACGUUGUCUAAACGGAUAAAUUGCUGAUCUUUUCUCCUACGAAACUGAAUGAUUUUUAAAUCUUUUUUGAUAUUUUCGAUAUUUUCAUUUCUUUUGUUGUUUUUUCUUGGAAUAAUUUAUUUAUAAAUUAUUAU